AUGAGGAACAAGGAGAAUCAUAGCAGAUUGGAAUGUAUAGUUAAAAUAGUAUUUAACUCAAGUGUAGUGUAUAACUCCAGUGUAGUGUAUAAUAACUCCAGUGUAGUGUAUAACUCCAGUGCAGUGUAUAAUAACUCCAGUGUAGUGUACAACCCCAGUGUAGUGUAUAACUCCAGUGUAGUGUAUAACUCCAGUGUAGUGUAUAAUAACUCCAGUGUAGUAUAUAACUCCAGUAUAGUGUAUAAUAACUCCAGUGUAGUGUAUAACUCCAGUGUAGUAUAUAACUCCAGUGAAGUGUAUAACUCCAGUGCAGUGUAUAAUAACUACAGUGUAGUAUAUAACUCCAGUGUAGUGUAUAAUAACUACAGUGUAGUAUAUAACUCCAGUGUAGUGUAUAAUAACUCCAGUGUAGUGUAUAAUAACUCCAGUGUAGUAUAUAACACCAGUGUAGUGUAUAAUAACUCCAGUGUAGUGUAUAACUCCAGUGUAGUAUAUAACUCCAGUAUAGUGUAUAACUCCAGUGUAGUGUAUAAUAACUCCAGUGUAGUGUAUAACUCCAGUGUAGUGUAUAACUCCAGUGUAGUAUAUAAUAACCACAGUGUAGUAUAUAAUAACGCCAGUGUAGUAUAUAACACCAGUGUAGUAUAUAACUCCAGUGUAGUAUAUAAUAACUCCAGUGUAGUGUAUAACUCCAGUGUAGUGUAUAACUCCAGUGUAGUAUAUAACUCCAGUAUAGUGUAUAACUCCAGUGUAGUGUAUAAUAACUACAGUGUAGUGUAUAACUCCAGUGUAGUGUAUAACUCCAGUGUAGUAUAUAAUAACUACAGUGUAGUAUAUAAUAACGCCAGUGUAUUAUAUAACACCAGUGUAGUAUAUAACUCCAGUGUAGUAUAUAAUAACUCCAGUGUAGUGUAUAACUCCAGUGUAGUGUAUAACUCCAGUGUAGUGUAUAAUAACUCCAGUGUAGUAUAUAACUCCAGUGUAGUGUAUAAUAACUCCAGUGUAGUGUAUAAUAACUCCAGUGUAGUAUAUAAGUCCAGUGUAGUGUAUAACUCCAGUGUAAUGUAUAACUCCAGUGUAGUAUAUAAUAACUCCAGUUUAGUAUAUAAUAACUCCAGUGUAGUAUAUAACUACAGUGUAGUGUAUAACUCCAGUGUAGUGUAUAAUAACUCCAGUGUAGUGUAUAACUCCAGUGUAGUGUAUAACCCCAGUGUAGUGUAUAACUCCAGUGUAGUAUAUAACUCCAGUGUAGUAUAUAACUCCAGUGUAGUAUAUAACUCCAGUGUAGUAUAUAACUCCAGUGUAGUGUAUAAUAAUGCCAGUGUCUUGUAUAACUCCAGUGUCUUGUAUAACUCCAGUGUAGUAUAUAACUCCAGUGUAGUGUAUAACCCCAGUGUAGUGUAUAACUCCAGUGUAGUGUAUAACCCCAGUGUAGUGUAUAACUCCAGUGUAGUGUAUAACUCCAGUGUAGUGUAUAACCCCAGUGUAGUGUAUAACUCCAGUGUAGUAUAUAACUCCAGUGUAGUGUAUAAUAACUCCAGUGUCUUGUAUAACUCCAGUGUAUUGUAUAACUCCAGUGUAGUAUAUAACUCCAGUGUAGUGUAUAACCCCAGUGUAGUGUAUAACUCCAGUGUAGUAUAUAACUCCAGUGUAGUGUAUAACUCCAGUGUAGUAUAUAAUAACUACAGUGUAGUAUAUAAUAACGCCAGUGUAGUAUAUAACACCAGUGUAGUAUAUAACUCCAGUGUAGUAUAUAAUAACUCCAGUGUAGUGUAUAAUAACUCCAGUGUAGUGUAUAAUAACUCCAGUGUAGUAUAUAAGUCCAGUGUAGUGUAUAACUCCAGUGUAGUGUAUAACCCCAGUGUAGUGUAUAACUCCAGUGUAGUGUAUAACCCCAGUGUAGUGUAUAACUCCAGUGUAGUGUAUAACCCCAGUGUAGUGUAUAACUCCAGUGUAGUAUAUAACUCCAGUGUAGUGUAUAAUAACUACAGUGUAGUGUAUAACCCCAGUGUAGUGUAUAACUCCAGUGUAGUAUAUAACUCCAGUGUAGUGUAUAAUAACUCCAGUGUCUUGUAUAACUCCAGUGUAGUAUAUAACUCCAGUGUAGUGUAUAACCCCAGUGUAGUGUAUAACUCCAGUGUAGUAUAUAACUCCAGUGUAGUGUAUAAUAACUACAGUGUAGUGUAUAACCCCAGUGUAGUGUAUAACUCCAGUGUAGUAUAUAACUCCAGUGUAGUGUAUAACCCCAGUGUAGUGUAUAACUCCAGUGUAGUAUAUAACUCCAGUCUGGUGUACAACUCCAGUGUAGUAUAUAACUCCAGGGUAGUAUAUAACUCCAGUGUAGUGUAUAACUCCAGUGUAGUGUAUAACUCCAGUGUAGUGUAUAACCCCAGUGUAGUGUAUAACUCCAGUGUAGUAUAUAACUCCGGUGUAGUAUAUAACUCCAGUGUAGUAUAUAACUCCAGUGUAGUAUAUAACCCCAGUGUAGUGUAUAACCCCAGUGUAGUGUAUAACCCCAGUGUAGUAUAUAACUCCAGUGUAGUGUACAACUCCAGUGUAGUGUAUAACUCCAGUGUAGUGUAUAACCCCAGUGUAGUAUAUAACCCCAGUGUAGUGUAUAACCGCAGUGUAGUGUAUAACCCCAGUGUAGUGUAUAACCCCAGUGUAGUAUAUAACUCCGGUGUAGUAUAUAACUCCAGUGUAGUAUAUAACUCCAGUGUAGUAUAUAACCCCAGUGUAGUGUAUAACCCCAGUGUAGUGUAUAACCCCAGUGUAGUAUAUAACUCCAGUGUAGUGUACAACUCCAGUGUAGUGUAUAACCCCAGUGUAGUAUAUAACCCCAGUGUAGUGUAUAACCCCAGUGUAGUGUAUAACCCCAGUGUAGUGUAUAACCCCAGUGUAGUAUAUAACUCCAGUGUAGUGUACAACUCCAGUGUAGUGUACAACCCCAGUGUAGUGUAUAACCCCAGUGUAGUGUAUAACCCCAAUGUAGUGUAUAACCCCAGUGUAGUAUAUAACUCCAGUGUAGUGUACAACUCCAGUGUAGUGUACAACCCCAGUGUAGUGUAUAACCCCAGUGUAGUGUAUAACCCCAGUGUAGUAUAUAACUCUAGUGUAGUGUACAACUCCAGUGUAGUGUAUAACCCCAGUGUAGUGUACAACCCCAGUGUAGUGUACAACCCCAGUGUAGUGUACAACCCCAGUGUAGUGUAUAACUCCAGCCCAGUCUGCUGA
ensembl:lncRNA